UUUACGGUUUGCAUGAAAUCAUACAAGUUGGAAAUAUCCUGCAGUUUUUAUCGUUGUUUUGGACGAUGGAAAGAAUUGGACGUCAUGGGGAAAGUUUUGCAGGUUAGAUGCCAUUGAAACCAGUCUCUUGAAAUAUUCCCGGACACCUUGAUACCCACGCCAUGACAUACAGUUCCUGUAAGUGUUGACUUACCGUCAAAGCAGUGACUUGUGUAACACCUAAUGGUGCAAUCACUUAUUUUUCAACUUUGAAUAUUAUACAGGAUCAACAUGUGCUCCACAGCAGAAUUCCCGCAAAACCCACGACUGGAAUUAAGCACUGUUUUUUUUUUUUAAAUUUGAUAUAAAUUUCUUCAUUUAUUAUUUUUUGCAAAUCCUUUAUGAAUAAAAUAAAACGUGUGUGUCAAAUAGUUUAGUAUAAAUAAAAAUGCACUACUGAU